rnacentral:sRNA from 17 species
UAAUAUAUGCGACGCGUACCUUGAAAAAGGUCAGAUGAUUGGUUAGGCCAGUUAGUUGAAGCCGGGGAGAAUAAUGCAGAAAGGUCGCUUUUCUAUUUAUCCUCGGUUUUGCUAG